GGACGUGGGGUAUUAGGUGGGAUGAAGACUGGUCAAAUAUGAAGACAGAUACAAGAUAAAUUCCACCGGUAUCCCUUUUAGCAAGUAAGCCAACGUUAGCCAAGGUUUGCUACUUUCCAACUUCUGCACUACACUUAAAGUUUCAGAGAGGCUGUUGAAAGUAUUUGGAACAAUCGACCACAUGCUGGGGAAGAAACGGAAAGGACCACAUCCCAUAGAUGGUCGUAUCCUGCAUGGAAAGAGGAAGGCACUUCAGUGAAGUCUAAAAAAAGUGCAGUUAUCUCCUGAAGUCCUCAGGUGAACCAGCUGAUUUAAAGUUUGCUCUGUCUCCAUAAUGCACUGAUGCAAAAACAAAGUGCGAGCAGAAAUUCUUUGCUCAUGGUGAAGAGGAGAACACCCAGACUCACCAGACGAAGGAACACUGCCCUGUACAUGGAAGAGAAGUCAUUAUCCGGCCAGUUGUGAUACUGGGUAGUGUAAAUGUGUGUUAUAUAGUAAUUAAAGCCUAAGUGGUAAAGCG